rnacentral:snRNA from 1 species
UCUCUCCCCUGCACAAGAUAGUUUUUAUCAGGGCAAGAUUUCUCCAUUUCACUCUGGACCUUCUGAGCCCCGCAGCUUCCCCCAGUGUUGGGUAACUCAGCUGCAUAGUUUGUGGUAGUGGGGAACUAUGUUUACACUGUUGCCUG